GGGUCAUUAGGUUGGUCGUGCCACCGGUACGUACUGGUCUCACUGAUUCCUCCUUCCUGAAGAACCGUAAUGCCAUUAAUUUGGUGUUGCGGGGAAACAGGACUGUUACUUUGAAAAAAUUAGAGUGUUUAAAGCAAGCUAACGCUUGAAUACAUUAGCAUGGAAUAAUGAAAUAGGACGAUCGAUCCUGUUUUAUUGGUUUCUAGGAUUGACGUA
rnacentral:rRNA from 1 species